CUAGCAUUCAUAGUGUAAUAUUAUGAUAUUGAUCAUAUGUCCCAAAAUAUCUGAAAUCUUUGAAAGUGAGAGGAAAUGAAUUGUCAAGUGGCAUAAAGAAGGAAAGACGUAAGAUGAAUCGAAGUUCAGCGUUUUUCGUUCGAACGGGCGUAAUUUUAUUUGGAGACAAGCAAAUACAGAGAUGGAAGCGAUAAACUUACGUGCUACAGUGAAACAUAUUCCCUUGCCUUGAAAAGUCGAGCCAAACAGUUCUGCAGCCGAUCUAUUGGAAGUUAAAAAGUCGAUCAUUAAAGUUUCAAAAAGGAGCAAUUAAUUUUUGAGCGGACGGUGUUAAGUAAUUCGGCGGGACCACUUACAUUGACAGGUACAGAUGUUCAAAUAGUAAAAAUGUACUCUUGAUUCAUCGAUGCAAAUUA